rnacentral:lncRNA from 1 species
GAUAUCCGAGCUCCUAACCAGAAAGAGAGGUAAAAUUAUCUAAAAUGAAGCCGCGCAGUUAUAAAGGCUAAGGAUUUACCUCCUCACCACUCAUGUAAUAAAUACUGAGGAGGUAAAGGGGCAACUCAAGGAAAAACCUAAGAGCACGAGCAUAUAAAACCUCAGUUUCAGUCCCCGCUCAUCACCUCAAAAGAGCUCACGGGUACAGUUAGUCCAGCUCGAAAAGGGCUUACGGAUAAGAAUUUCAGUUAGUGAAAUAGAUAAAUCCACAGGUCAAAAGUUCAGUCAAACGACAGAAUUUCAGUCCUGACGGGUCUGAAGGCAAAAAGGAAAGACAUCACAGUGGAUCCCUCAGAGAAAAUUACGAAGCACGCAGUUUAAGUAUUUCAUUUAUAAGCAGAGAUAAGUUCAAGAGUGAACGAAAAACAAGAAGUAGUUCAAGUGGAGGCAAUUAAAAUUUCAUUAAAGAAAAAAUGUAGUACAAUCUAUUUAUCUGCUAAGGUUGAAGGAAAAAUAGUCCUUAAGGGACUUACAUUUCUAGGAACAUCGUCA